UACGUAGGGGGCAAGCGUUGUCCGGAUUUAUUGGGCGUAAAGAGCGUGUAGGCGGCCAGGUAGGUCCGCUGUGAAAACUCGAGGCUCAACCUCGAGAUGUCGGCGGAAACCAUCUGGCUAGAGUCCGGAAGAGGAGAGUGGAAUUCCUGGUGUAGCGGUGAAAUGCGCAGAUAUCAGGAAGAACACCCGUGGCGAAGGCGGCUCUCUGGGACGGUACUGACGCUGAGACGCGAAAGCGUGGGGAGCGAACAGG
rnacentral:rRNA from 1 species